CCUACGGGGGGCAGCAGUAGGGAAUCUUCCACAAUGGACGAAAGUCUGAUGGAGCAACGCCGCGUGAGUGAGGAAGGGUUUCGGCUCGUAAAGCUCUUUUGGUAGUGAAGAAAGAUAGAGGUAGUAACUGGCCUUUAUUUGACGGUAAUUACUUAGAAAGUCACGGCUAACUACGUGCCAGCAGCCGCGGUAAUACGUAGGUGGCAAGCGUUGUCCGGAUUUAUUGGGCGUAAAGCGAGUGCAGGCGGCUCCAUAAGUCUGAUGUUAAAGCCUUCGGCUCAACCGGAGAAUUUCAUCAGAAACUG
rnacentral:rRNA from 1 species